UCUUGAAGCAAGUUUUGUGUUCAUCCAUAGAAGCAUGAAUAAAUUCAUCCAUGUGAUCCUUGAUAUCUUCUAGAAAAGUCGCUUGUUCGCUCUUCUUCUUCCUACACGAAGUCAUGGCUGGAUUUGGAGUAACAGCGGAUGAUGUCUUCUCAUUUUGGACAUUUUCUGCUGCCAUAUUCUUGAUGUGAGGCUCUUAUCUAGG
rnacentral:misc_RNA from 1 species